UUCACCCAUCCAAGUUUUACCAUCCAUGCAUCCAUGCAACAUGGCUAGGCACUGUGCAAGACACUGGAGAUAUUGAAAUGACUUUAUGGAAUUCAUCAUUCAGUUCACCACUGUCAAAUGACAGUGAGAAGAGUGCUAACUGAAGUAGGUAAACAGGUAGGGUGAGGGGGCCAAGGAAGGCCUUGUCAAUGAGCAGACUUUUAAUGGAUGAGCCUGGAGUUUGCCAAGCUUGAGAGAAGAUGGGAAGGGCGUUCAGGUUCUGAGAACAGCAGAAAUAAAACCAGGGGGUUCAGAACACUGUAUUGACUUCGGGACCUGCAGUAAACUGGUGCGGCUACCAGAAUCUCAAAUCCUCCGAGGAUUUUCCCGAAUCUCCAUGAUGCCUCAGAAGGCCUCGUUUUGCAUCCGAUCCUUUUACUGCAAUAAAAAAGAAUCAGAAAUUCACGUUGCUUGUCUCCAUUGCACAAAGAAGAGUUCCCUCUCUUGGACAAAUUGGUCUUGGGUAAAGUAUGCCACAUAAAUUGCUUCCAGAUCAUCUUGUGCCUGUGGAAGGACUAAGGGCUUGAGACAAGAUGCAUUUCACAGCAUCAAUAUUUGGUCUCUUUUCCUGGUAAACAUGGAGGAAAGAGAACAAGAGGCCUAAUCCGAGUUUGCCUGGAUGCAAGAAAAUCUGGUGUCUAAAUGCCACAUUUCUUGGGACUGUAUAAUAAUCUAUAAUAGUGGAGCAUCAUAACAAAUAGUGUAACAAUUUCAUGAUGAUAACCUAUACUUUCAAGAAACCCAUGAAAUGUACAAUUCAGAGAUCUCCAGCACUAGCCUCUGAGAAUGAUUCACAAACUCAAUUCUCGAUUCAAAGAGAUUGGCACUUCUGACGUUUAUGCGUAAAUAGAUCUCAACCAAUCUCAUUAAAUAUUCAAUCCAUAUUCAAAGUUAUUAAAUAUUGAACAUGAUUUAAUAAAUACAACCAAGUUAAUCAA